AAAAAGUUAAACGGGUAUGGAGCGACAUAAGGGUGAGCUUGGACAUCAUUUUAAUUUUUGGGUGAACUACAGUAUUACUUUAAGACUGAUGAGGCCAGUAUAUCAUGGAGGGCUUCACCAGUAUUGUGCCAGAGGUGCGUGAGUCUGUUCCAAGAAAAAUCCUGUUGGCCAAAAUCUACAUUGAAGCAAAAGAGCAGAUACAUGCAGAAGAUCUACCAGUGUGACGCUGAUACACCUUAUCCAACCAUGCACUUGGUAGAUAUUGACUGGGAAAAGGCUUUCACGAGGAGGGUUCAAUUUUUGAAUUAUAAGUAUCAAUACCAAACGGCUUCUUUGCAUUAAGACUUCCUGCAUACACAAAUUUGACCCUGAUUGGAAUAUAAUUUACCCAGGUCAAUGUACUUUCAGGCCUAUGACACUCUUUUGAUGAUAAAUUGAUUGUGAUUCUUAAAAUGUUUUAAAAAGUAUAGUUCACCCAAAAAGGAAUUUUUUUUUAUAUUUUACUCAUCGUCAUGAUAUUUAAAACCUAUAUGACUUUCUUUUCUUGUGUGGGGACAGUAAGGAGAUGUUUUAAUGAAUAUCACAGUCAGUUCUUUCAGUGCCAGUAGUUAGAGCCUCACUUUAAAGCUUAAAGGACCCAAACGUAUCAUAAGUAGUUCAUGUGACUUGUGCGUUAUGUUUCAAGUCAUCUGAAGGCAUACUAUAGGUUUUGGUGAGAAACAACAUGAAAUUACAGUCAGAAACUUUAUGUCUGUUGCGUGUUAAUAAGUGCAUGAGAGAAGCUCAUUCACAGUGGCUCACGUGUUUAUUUAGUUCAUUUUUAAGCUUUAAAUUGAGGCACUGUCCACUGCCAUUGUAUUGAAAAGUCAGGCUGUGAUAUUCAUUAAAACCUUCAAAAACUUCAAUGAUCAGUGCAAGAACGAUAAUCAUACUGGCUUGAAACAUCAUGAGGGUAAAUGAUGACAGAAUUUUCAUUUUUGGGUAAGUAUUAAAGAGUAUUUAUAAAGUUACUUAAAAUUAAACGUAGUAAUAUUUUUUUAAGCACAAUUUCUGAAUAAAUUUAUAUGUAUCCUG